rnacentral:lncRNA from 1 species
CACUGGCUCACUCCUUGUUCUCAAUGGUUAGGUGUUAAUCUUUAUCACUUAACCAUGGGCAAGGUUCGAGAGUUGGUAAACUCAGGGACUAAUGGAAGCAAAACAAUUAACCUUUAUUUCAUAAGAGGUAUUCUAAAAUACCUUUUCUUUUCCUUCCUAGAACUCAAUGAAAAGUCAUUUUGAUACUAGUGUGUCUGAAGGCUCUCAAAUCUCGCCAUAGGCUCAUGCCCAACGAGAUGUGUUUUGGGCCAACACUUGCAAAGGUUAUAAUCUAUCAUGGUUAUUUUGAAGGACUUAAAAAGGAGAUUCUUAUUUUAUUUAGGUAAAUUAUAUUUAAUGUCACUAAAUUAUUAGUAAAUUUUAUUAUAGUAAAAAUGAUUUUAAGCA